GUCAACAACCCCACUCAACUGGCGGGAUGGGGCUUGUUAAAGCCCCUAACCCAGAGUGAGUUUAGUUGACGGGCCUCAGACGCGGUCAGCGUCUACGUUCAGAGCAAGUGUUAAAGUUCUUACCUGGGGAUGCGUCGCUAUCGCUAGUAGUCCCCAGCUCUAAAACCAGAUGCUUAAACAGUCCUAGAGGGUUAAGACCGUGCUAUCUGGAAAGUACCGACUCUGAACAUUGGCAAGUGGGAACUUUAC
rfam:Arthrospira platensis NIES-39 DNA, nearly complete genome.